rnacentral:ncRNA from 1 species
ACCCCUGUGAGAAUGCCCUACUGACCCCACCCCUGGGAGAAAGGAGCUGGUAUCAGGCACAACAUUAGUUAGCCCACAACACCUUGCUUAGCCACACCCCUAAGGGACUCAGCAGUAAUAAACAUUAAGCCCUAAGUGAAAACUUGACUUAGUUAAUAUCGAUAAGGGUCGGUUAAACUCGUGCCAGCCACCGCGGUUAUACGAGAGACCCAAGCUGACAGAAACCGGCGUAAAGAGUGAUUAAUGUAACUAUCUACUAAAGUCGAACACCCUCCAGGCUGUUAUACGCUACUGGGGGUGAGAAGCCCAUUAACGAAAGUGACUUUAAGCUAUAUGAAUUCACGAAAGCUAUGAAACAAACUGGGAUUAGAUACCCCACUAUGCAUAGCCCUAAACAAAAGUACUAUUAUACUUCCAUACUCGCCUGGGAACAACGAGCCACAGCUUAAAACCCAAAGGACUUGGCGGUGCUUUAAACCCCCCUAGAGGAGCCUGUUCUAGAAUCGAUAAUCCCCGUUAAACCUCACCCUCUCUUGUUUAUUCCGCCUAUAUACCGCCGUCGUCAGCUUACCCUGUGAAGGGUUAAUAGUAAGCAAAAUUGGCAUAGCCCAGCACGUCAGGUCAAGGUGUAGCAUACGAGAGGGGAAGAAAUGGGCUACAUUUACUGGUCCAGUAAACACGGAUCUUGCACUGAAAAAGCUUGUGAAGGAGGAUUUAGCAGUAAGAAGAGAACAGAGUGCUCUCCUGAAAACGGCCCUAAAGCGCGCACACACCGCCCGUCACUCUCCCCUAAACAACUUAACUCUUAAUAAAUAAAAAAUUAAAGAAAAAAUAGGGGAGGCAAGUCGUAACAUGGUAAGUGUACCGGAAGGUGUACUUGGAAAAACUUU